UGCCGUAAAGCAUUAUUUCAAAACAAAAGUGGUUUUGCAUUGAUCAAUACAAAAUAGCAGAAUAAAAUUACUUAAAGAUCAUGAAAGAUCAAGUUUCGCUUGGAAACACAAUGGUGUAGUUUGUUUCAAAAGAAGACCCUUGAAAAUAAUGACGUGUAAACGUGUGUUUGGAAUGUGACAAAACAUGCCACUGAAAUACGAGUAGACACUUUAGCACUUGAAACUUCAACUGGACCAUAUGUAACGUUAUGUAUACAGAAAAGUUUGACACGAAACCAAUGUUUUCCUCAUUCUUUGAUAUCUUACAACAUUAAUUUCUGUUAAUUAUAAACUUCUAUUGAAAUGGCGGAAUUAUUUAUUGAUUUCAAAACUUUCGUUACAACAGUAAUACCUUAAGUAAAAAGUUCUUAUUGAUUUAUGAUUAUCUAAUGUUUAUAUUAAGAUAUUACUCUUCCAUUUGUAAAUUAAUAGGAAUAUUUUACUUCAGAUAUUUCGAUCUUUUAUAACGAUGGCUAUAACUGAUGUUCAAAACAAUAAGAUUUUGAAACUAGUUGAACUUCGCCAUUUUGUAAUGUCGUGAAUAAAUUUUCAACGGUUCAGACAGUCUUUCCUGUCCAUUUUGUGACAACUCGCACUAAUUACGAGAAAAACCUAAUUAAGAGGAAUAAUUUUCGAACUUUUUUAUAUGCCUCCUUAAAAUUAAGCUCCCCGCUUUCUUUCUAUGUGUGUUUUGUUCUAGGAAAACGUGUGUGUAAAAAGUCGAAUUUUUUUUUCAAUAGAUCGAAGAAUGUCCUUGUCUAGCGUCACUAGACAAAGAGAGCACUAGCGUGCGACAAGGACAGACAUAUACGCGCGGUAGACAAGGAGACCGAUAGCGUGGGACAAGGACAGAUGUAUACGCGUGGCAAACAAGGAGGGCGAUAGCGUGGCACAAGGACAGACAUAUAUGUACGGUAGACAAGGAGAGCAACAGCGGCAUCUUUAGAGCCAUGCUGUUGGGACCUUUCCCUAGGCAACUGCAGAUGGCCAGUCAAACCAGCGAGGGGUUCUCCCCUCCACUUUGCAGCUGGCCAGGUAUAGGCAUGCCUGAAUAUUUUCUGAGAACAAAAGACCUGCUUGUAUUCCAUCAAACCACUUUUGGGUAUUUUGAAUUCAUGUGGCUUCUAACGUACAUUAUAUCAAAAUUCGAUGUUACAUAAAACGUAGGAAUUCUUACAGAGAAAUAAAGAAACUCAUUAAUUUCUAA